GUGACGAAGCGACGCCGCGUGUGGGAUGAAGGCCUUCGGGUUGUAAACCACUGUCGGGAGUUAAGAAUUGUAGGAAUGCUAAUAGUAUUUCUACUUGACUAAGGCUCCGGAGGAAGCCACGGCUAACUCUGUGCCAGCAGCCGCGGUAAUACAGAGGCGGCAAGCGUUGUUCGGAAUUAUUGGGCGUAAAGGGCAUGUAGGCGGCUAUGUAAGUCGGUUGUGAAAGCCUUCCGCUUAACGGAAGAAUGGCGGUCGAAACUGCAUGGCUUGAGUGCGGGAGGGGAGAGUGGAACUUCUGGUGGAGUGGUGAAAUGCGUAGAUAUCAGAAGGAACGUCGGCGGCGAAAGCGACUCUCUAGACUGUAACUGACGCUGAGUGUGCGAAAGCUAGGGGAGCAAACGGGAUUAGAUACCCCGGUAGUCCUAGCCGUAAACGAU
rnacentral:rRNA from 1 species